rnacentral:rRNA from 1 species
GUGCACCAGGCGCGAAAACUUCACAAUGUGCGAAAGCACGAUGAGGGAAUCCCAAGUGCUUGCACGUAAGUGUAAGCUGUUUCUCUGUCUAAAACGCAGAGAGAGUAAGGGCUGGGUAAGACGGGUGCCAGCCGCCGCGGUAAUACCUGCAGCUCGAGUGGUGACCGUUAUUAUUGGGCCUAAAACGUCCGUAGCCGGUUUAAUAAAUGCCUGGGUAAAUCGGACCGCUUAACGGUUCGAAUUCCGGGUAGACUGUUAAACUUGAGACCGGGAGAAGUUAGAGGUACUCCUGGGGUAGAGGUGAAAUUCUGUAAUCCUAGGGGGACCACCAGUGGCGAAGGCGUCUAACUAGAACGGGUCUGACGGUGAGGGACGAAGCCCUGGGGCGCAAGCGGGAUUAGAUACCCC